rnacentral:tRNA from 2 species
GGGCGUGUAGUUCAGUGGUAGAACGCUGUCCUGAUAAGACAGAAGUCGAAGGUUCGAUUCCUUCCACGCCCA